rnacentral:lncRNA from 1 species
AUGACUGCUGCUGCACCACGCACCUCGCAGAGAGGGCCCCGAUGUGAGAGGCAGGCCCGGCCCAGGGCUCACCUGCACACGGGAUCAGGAGCUUUCUCUAGGCUCUCAUGGCGAAUGCUGCGGCUUCUGGGUCGGUCUGCUGCCAUCCUCGAAAGCGGCCUGUUCUCUCCGUGGACUCAGGCCCAGCUGCAUCCCCAGGAGGGACUCCGUGUGCAGCCCUUACUGGCCUCACUGGGGGCGGGAGCGCAUUGUAGGCAUCAGAAAACCAGCGUGACAAGGAGGGUCAGGCCGCAGGCUUGGAGGAGGAGGCUGGUCGGCAGAGGGAAGACAGGCGAGAGAGGACUCCUGGGUAAACCGGAGUUUAUUUCAGUCAGAAGCGCGCGCUCUGCAGAGCCACCGUUCAGAGCACGGAGGAAAGCUAAGGGGCGGGGCGCGUGGGGGUUACAUAUUUCCAUUCCUGCACCGAAGACAGGGCCCUUGCACAUGGAGGACACGCAGCUCAGGGACAGAGCGCCCGGAGCCUCGCACAGCAGACACAGCUCUGAGCAGACACUUGAGCAAAGAAGACGCGCGCACGGGGCUGGGCACGCAUCCCAUGGGGGGGGGGGGCAGCGCGAGGAACCAGUGCCCCACGCCAGGACCCCAUCGACGCUGCGCACACACCUUGGCUGCCUUGGGCUCAGGGAAGGAAGCCAGAUGGCGUCUGGUCAUGUCCCUGGGAUCUGGAACCAGCCAGACCACAGGGAACAGGGACGUCAGGGGCUUCGGGGAGCAGUGCGGGGGGAGCACCUGGCCACCAAGGGGACGUUCAUGGUGGGGCCGCUGGUCCAGGGCCAGAGGGCCCAGCUGGUGGCUCAGGGAAAACCCAGGAGCUGCCCAGCCCACGGCGGAGCUGUCAUGGAGGCCGACGGAAAACACCAGAAUGAAAAUCGACUCUGUCACACUGGAUGUCUGAGGUAGCUGCCUGGCAUUGCGUGGAGACCGGGCCCUAAAGACGUCAGCCAUGGAGAUGCCCUGAAGACCGCAGGCCCCGUGCGGCUGGAUUCUGCCCCGCACAGAGUGAGCGACGCACCAGGUGAGGGAGGUCGCAGGUGCGGGAGGGAGACGUCGGGCUUUGUGAUAGAACAUGUAGAAGUAGGAUGUAACCUUUGUGGAGCUGGACUCAAACAAGCCAACAGUUAAUUAUUUUUGAGACAGCCAAGGUAAUUUAGAAUAGAGAGCAGGCAUUAAGUGACCGUAGAUAAUAAUUACUAGUUUUGUUAGUUGUAAUGAUGAAUACCAGUUCGAUUAGUAAAAAAAAAGUGUGGCUGGUGAUUGGUGGAUUGUGUUUGUAGUGGUGGAUGUAUACUGAAGUAUUAGGGUAAAAGUGUGUGAUGGUUUGGAUUUCUCUACAAACUUCCCAAUAAGAGAAAAGGAAAAGAAAUAAGGGGAAUGAACAGAUGAAACAGUGAUCAGAAAAUUGUUCUAAUUUUUCCUGCUGAAUAAAAGGACUCCCAUG